UACGUAGGGUGCAAGCGUUGUCCGGAAUUAUUGGGCGUAAAGAGCUCGUAGGCGGUUUGUCGCGUCUGCUGUGAAAAUCCAGGGCUUAACCCUGGACCUGCAGUGGGUACGGGCAGACUGGAGUGCGGUAGGGGAUAUCGGAAUUCCUGGUGUAGCGGUGAAAUGCGCAGAUAUCAGGAGGAACACCGGUGGCGAAGGCGGAUCUCUGGGCCGAUACUGACGCUGAGGAGCGAAAGCGUGGGGAGCGAACAGG
rnacentral:rRNA from 1 species